rnacentral:lncRNA from 1 species
UCUUAUAAUUAAUUAGGACUUGAUUAUAUUAAGUAUAGUAGUCUUUUAUUUACAUGUUUUUAAUUAAUAACAUACAUAUAUAGCAGCAAAUCAUCUCUAAAUAUACAUAGAAAGUGAAUCAUCGAGGUUAUGCAGUCACACAUAGGAAAAAUGUCUGGUUUGGUUUUUCUAUCUGUGUUAUUUCUUCUUCUCCAGCUUCCUCUGUCAUCGCUCUCAAACUCUGAAGGUAAAAUAUCUCUAUUCAUUAGUUCUUUUCGCAAUUUUCGUUGGAUAAUUAAAACAAACAUCACUUUCAGAUUAUGCUUUCGAGUAUACUUUUAUCUGCAGGUGACGCUCUCUAUGCUUUCAGAAAAGGUCUUUCUGAUCCCGACCACGUUUUGGGCA